GGGUUGUGAGGUUAAGCGACUAAGCGUACACGGUGGAUGCCCUGGCAGUCAGAGGCGAUGAAGGACGUGCUAAUCUGCGAUAAGCGUCGGUAAGGUGAUAUGAACCGUUAUAACCGGCGAUUUCCGAAUGGGGAAACCCAGUGUGAUUCGUCACACUAUCAUUAACUGAAUCCAUAGGUUAAUGAGGCGAACCGGGGGAACUGAAACAUCUAAGUACCCCGAGGAAAAGAAAUCAACCGAGAUUCCCCCAGUAGCGGCGAGCGAACGGGGAGCAGCCCAGAGCCUGAAUCAGUGUGUGUGUUAGUGGAAGCGUCUGGAAAGGCGCGCGAUACAGGGUGACAGCCCCGUACACAAAAAUGCACAUGCUGUGAGCUCGAUGAGUAGGGCGGGACACGUGGUAUCCUGUCUGAAUAUGGGGGGACCAUCCUCCAAGGCUAAAUACUCCUGACUGACCGAUAGUGAACCAGUACCGUGAGGGAAAGGCGAAAAGAACCCCGGCGAGGGGAGUGAAAAAGAACCUGAAACCGUGUACGUACAAGCAGUGGGAGCACGCUUAGGCGUGUGACUGCGUACCUUUUGUAUAAUGGGUCAGCGACUUAUAUUCUGUAGCAAGGUUAACCGAAUAGGGGAGCCGAAGGGAAACCGAGUCUUAACUGGGCGUUAAGUUGCAGGGUAUAGACCCGAAACCCGGUGAUCUAGCCAUGGGCAGGUUGAAGGUUGGGUAACACUAACUGGAGGACCGAACCGACUAAUGUUGAAAAAUUAGCGGAUGACUUGUGGCUGGGGGUGAAAGGCCAAUCAAACCGGGAGAUAGCUGGUUCUCCCCGAAAGCUAUUUAGGUAGCGCCUCGUGAAUUCAUCUCCGGGGGUAGAGCACUGUUUCGGCAAGGGGGUCAUCCCGACUUACCAACCCGAUGCAAACUGCGAAUACCGGAGAAUGUUAUCACGGGAGACACACGGCGGGUGCUAACGUCCGUCGUGAAGAGGGAAACAACCCAGACCGCCAGCUAAGGUCCCAAAGUCAUGGUUAAGUGGGAAACGAUGUGGGAAGGCCCAGACAGCCAGGAUGUUGGCUUAGAAGCAGCCAUCAUUUAAAGAAAGCGUAAUAGCUCACUGGUCGAGUCGGCCUGCGCGGAAGAUGUAACGGGGCUAAACCAUGCACCGAAGCUGCGGCAGCGACGCUUAUGCGUUGUUGGGUAGGGGAGCGUUCUGUAAGCCUGUGAAGGUGUACUGUGAGGCAUGCUGGAGGUAUCAGAAGUGCGAAUGCUGACAUAAGUAACGAUAAAGCGGGUGAAAAGCCCGCUCGCCGGAAGACCAAGGGUUCCUGUCCAACGUUAAUCGGGGCAGGGUGAGUCGACCCCUAAGGCGAGGCCGAAAGGCGUAGUCGAUGGGAAACAGGUUAAUAUUCCUGUACUUGGUGUUACUGCGAAGGGGGGACGGAGAAGGCUAUGUUGGCCGGGCGACGGUUGUCCCGGUUUAAGCGUGUAGGCUGGUUUUCCAGGCAAAUCCGGAAAAUCAAGGCUGAGGCGUGAUGACGAGGCACUACGGUGCUGAAGCAACAAAUGCCCUGCUUCCAGGAAAAGCCUCUAAGCAUCAGGUAACAUCAAAUCGUACCCCAAACCGACACAGGUGGUCAGGUAGAGAAUACCAAGGCGCUUGAGAGAACUCGGGUGAAGGAACUAGGCAAAAUGGUGCCGUAACUUCGGGAGAAGGCACGCUGAUAUGUAGGUGAAGUCCCUCGCGGAUGGAGCUGAAAUCAGUCGAAGAUACCAGCUGGCUGCAACUGUUUAUUAAAAACACAGCACUGUGCAAACACGAAAGUGGACGUAUACGGUGUGACGCCUGCCCGGUGCCGGAAGGUUAAUUGAUGGGGUCAGCGCAAGCGAAGCUCUUGAUCGAAGCCCCGGUAAACGGCGGCCGUAACUAUAACGGUCCUAAGGUAGCGAAAUUCCUUGUCGGGUAAGUUCCGACCUGCACGAAUGGCGUAAUGAUGGCCAGGCUGUCUCCACCCGAGACUCAGUGAAAUUGAACUCGCUGUGAAGAUGCAGUGUACCCGCGGCAAGACGGAAAGACCCCGUGAACCUUUACUAUAGCUUGACACUGAACAUUGAGCCUUGAUGUGUAGGAUAGGUGGGAGGCUUUGAAGUGUGGACGCCAGUCUGCAUGGAGCCGACCUUGAAAUACCACCCUUUAAUGUUUGAUGUUCUAACGUUGACCCGUAAUCCGGGUUGCGGACAGUGUCUGGUGGGUAGUUUGACUGGGGCGGUCUCCUCCUAAAGAGUAACGGAGGAGCACGAAGGUUGGCUAAUCCUGGUCGGACAUCAGGAGGUUAGUGCAAUGGCAUAAGCCAGCUUGACUGCGAGCGUGACGGCGCGAGCAGGUGCGAAAGCAGGUCAUAGUGAUCCGGUGGUUCUGAAUGGAAGGGCCAUCGCUCAACGGAUAAAAGGUACUCCGGGGAUAACAGGCUGAUACCGCCCAAGAGUUCAUAUCGACGGCGGUGUUUGGCACCUCGAUGUCGGCUCAUCACAUCCUGGGGCUGAAGUAGGUCCCAAGGGUAUGGCUGUUCGCCAUUUAAAGUGGUACGCGAGCUGGGUUUAGAACGUCGUGAGACAGUUCGGUCCCUAUCUGCCGUGGGCGCUGGAGAACUGAGGGGGGCUGCUCCUAGUACGAGAGGACCGGAGUGGACGCAUCACUGGUGUUCGGGUUGUCAUGCCAAUGGCACUGCCCGGUAGCUAAAUGCGGAAGAGAUAAGUGCUGAAAGCAUCUAAGCACGAAACUUGCCCCGAGAUGAGUUCUCCCUGACUCCUUGAGAGUCCUGAAGGAACGUUGAAGACGACGACGUUGAUAGGCCGGGUGUGUAAGCGCAGCGAUGCGUUGAGCUAACCGGUACUAAUGAACCGUGAGGCUUAACCUUACAACGCCGAAG
rnacentral:rRNA from 1 species